UACGUAGGAGGCGAGCGUUGUCCGGAUUUACUGGGCGUAAAGGGCGCGCAGGCGGCACCGUAAGUAAGGUGUGAAAUCUCCCUGCUCAACGGGGAGGGAGCACUUUAGACUGCGGAGCUAGAGGACGGUAGAGGGGGGUAGAAUUGCUGGUGUAGCGGUGAAAUGCGUAGAGAUCAGCAGGAAUACCCGUGGCGAAGGCGGCCCCCUGGGCCGAACCUGACGCUGAGGCGCGAAGGCUAGGGGAGCGAACGGG
rnacentral:rRNA from 1 species